rnacentral:rRNA from 1 species
GGACGCUUUUGGGGUUUCGGCCUCAAGGGAGUGGCGGACGGGUGAGUAACACGUGGGUAAUCUGCCCUGAAGUGGGGAAUAACACCGGGAAACCGGUGCUAAUACCGCAUACGAUCACGAGGUCUGCGGACUUUGUGAUGAAAGGAGCAAUUCGCUUUAGGAGGAGCCCGCGGCUGAUUAGCUAGUUGGUGAGGUAAUGGCUCACCAAGGCUACGAUCAGUAUCCGGUCUGAGAGGACGGUCGGACACACUGGAACUGAGACACGGUCCAGACUCCUACGGGAGGCAGCAGUGGGGAAUUUUUCGCAAUGGGGGCAACCCUGACGAAGCAACGCCGCGUGGGUGAUGAAGUCUCUUGGGACGUAAAACCCUUUCGACGGGGAAGAAACCGCAAGGUUGACGAUACCCGUAGAAGAAGCCCCGGCUAACUCCGUG